AAGCUGGUUAUCUUGUACUGAAUACAUAGGUGCAAGAGGCGAACCAGGGGAACUGAAACAUCUAAGUACCCUGAGGAAAAGAAAUCAACCGAGAUUCCCUUAGUAGUGGCGAGCGAACGGGGACCAGCCCUUAAGUUGAUUUGAGAUUAGUGGAAUGCUCUGGAAAGUGCAGCCAUAGUGGGUGAUAGCCCCGUACACGAAAAUCUCUUGUCAAUGAAAUCGAGUAGGACGGAGCACGAGAAACUUUGUCUGAAUAUGGGGGGACCAUCCUCCAAGGCUAAAUACUACUGACUGACCGAUAGUGAACCAGUACCGUGAGGGAAAGGCGAAAAGAACCCCGGAGAGGGGAGUGAAAUAGAACCUGAAACCGUAUGCGUACAAGCAGUGGGAGCCUACUUUGUUAGGUGACUGCGUACCUUUUGUAUAAUGGGUCAGCGACUUAUAUUCAGUGGCGAGCUUAACCGAAUAGGGGAGGCGUAGCGAAAGCGAGUCUUAAUAGGGCGUUUAGUCGCUGGGUAUAGACCCGAAACCGGGCGAUCUAUCCAUGGGCAGGUUGAAGGUUAGGUAACACUGACUGGAGGACCGAACCGACUACCGUUGAAAAGUUAGCGGAUGACCUGUGGAUCGGAGUGAAAGGCUAAUCAAGCUCGGAGAUAGCUGGUUCUCCUCGAAAGCUAUUUAGGUAGCGCCUCAUGUAUCACUGUAGGGGGUAGAGCACUGUUUCGGCUAGGGGGUCAUCCCGACUUACCAAACCGAUGCAAACUCCGAAUACCUACAAGUGCCGAGCAUGGGAGACACACGGCGGGUGCUAACGUCCGUCGUGAAAAGGGAAACAACCCAGACCGUCAGCUAAGGUCCCAAAGUCAUGGUUAAGUGGGAAACGAUGUGGGAAGGCUUAGACAGCUAGGAGGUUGGCUUAGAAGCAGCCACCCUUUAAAGAAAGCGUAAUAGCUCACUAGUCGAGUCGGCCUGCGCGGAAGAUGUAACGGGGCUCAAACCAUGCACCGAAGCUACGGGUAUCA
rnacentral:rRNA from 1 species